UUCUCUCUAUUUAAGAAUAGAUCAAAUUUCAAAAAAGAAAUCUCUGUGUUCAUCGUUGCAAACCCUAAGCCUGCGUCUUCUCUUCUCGUCAUCUCAAACCCUAAACCUUCUUCUUCUCUUCUCGUCACCUCAAACCCUUUUGCUCAUCUCAAACUUGCAAACAAUCGACCUCUAAAAGAGACGAUGAUGAGUUUUGUCCCUGUUAUCUGAAUCACAUCGGGAAUCUGUAAUGGAUAAAGGAAAAGAAAAAGAAGACCCCGUUCAAAGAGGAAAUCAAAAAGAAAGGUCCAAAAAUUACAGACCACGGUGUCAAGUAUGGGUCGAUGUAGAGUUGACCGGGACAGACCCUAUUACAACAAAUGGAGGGAAAUGCAUCAAAUGGUACUGGUAUUUAGAUGAGAAUCAGAAUCUUACAGUCAAUGAAAUAGGAGAAAGGGUUAGGAGUUUGGGGUACCCGGAAGUUAGUAGAAUUGGUUACUACGAACCUAGCGGGGAUUGGCAUACGAUAACGCUUGUGAAGAAUUAUGAAGAUGUCAGACGGUUGUUAAUUGAGGGUAAUGAUUUUGGCUAUGUUCAGAUGUUUAUUGAGUGCGAGAGGCUGACUGUAGAGUUUGAACAUUUUGAUACAGAUGAAAGUGUACGCGAUGCGAUAAUGAGCAACGAGGCUGAGAAGGAAGCUGAAAAUGCAGCCAGUGAAAUGGAGAUUGAUAAUAAAGGUGAAGAGUCUGAUAGCAUAUAUGUAUGCGACAGCGAAGCAAACACAGAUGAUGUUAGUGUUAGCGAUGGUGGGAGUGAUUUUGAUGAAGAGUACGCAAUGCCAAGGAAAAAAAGAAAAAAUUUAUAAGUACAAUAGUUGAUAGCAUUAAUGGGUUGGGGUUGGACGCGAUGCUUGAUGCUCCAGAGGGUGUUUCUUGUGUGAACGGAAAGUAUUGAGAAGGUGGGGCAGUUGGCAAUUUAGAUGCUCAUGCAGGUAUCGAUGAGGAUGGACAUGGCAGUGACUAUGCGGAGAUUGAUGACGGGCUUGUGACUCCCUCUAACAGUGAUGAGGACACUUUAGAAGUUAAAAAGCGGAAGAAAACAACUCGGGCGUACUAUAACCCAAAGUGAAAUCAUGAAGAGUUGGAAUUUAAAAUGUUCAUGACAUUCAUGAAUAAAGUGCAAGUACAAAAUGCUGUGCAACAGUGGGCUAUCUGCCGUGGGCAUAAUUUAUGCUGGAAAAAGAGUGAGCAUUUGAAGGUUGAGGCUGUUUGCGUACCUGGUUGUCGAUGGAAGUUAUAUGCUAAUAAGAAAAGGUCAUGCACUUACUUCCAAAUUGUGGGACUGAAUAAUCAGCAUACUUGUCAAAGAGCAGCGAGAAACAGAGAAGCAACAUCGGAGUAGGUGGCGAAAGAGUUUAUUCAAAAGAUUAGGCGGCAACCUUCAUACAAACCUCGUUAUAUGCAAGGUGAUCUAAAGGACAAGUAUUCUGGACUUGUAGUCACAAUUGCUUCUUGUUAUAGGGCAAGAACAAUAAGAAUGAUUAUCAUUAGAGGGUCGCUUGAAUCUCAUUAUACUAGAUUUAGAGCUUAUGAAGCUGAGUUGAAAAGGGUCGACAAGGAAGGGACUUUCCGGUUCCACUUCAUUCAUGACCCAAAAAAUGGCGCUCCAAUUUUUCAGAGGUACUACGUUGGAUUUUCAGCCUUGAGAAAAGGGUUUACUAGAGGCUGUCGUCCAGUUUUAUGUGUAGAUGGUUGUUUCCUCAAGACACUAGUGGUUGGUGUCUUGUUAAGUGUCGUAGCCCGAGACGGGAACAAUCAAAUGUACCCUGUGGCGUGGGCAAUCGCCGAAGCAGAAAAUCAAGAAACCUGGACAUGGUUUAUGGAGUUGUUGAAUUCAGAUCUCGGGUUGGAGAGGGGCUGCAUUUGACUCUUAUUAGCGACCAACAAAAGGCAGCUGAGAGUGUUUGGUGCCAUUUAACAGCUUUUCAACGGUCGGUGGCAAAAAGACCAGUCAGGACAAAAAUGUAAAAAUGACAUGUUUUGCAUAGAACAUGCGUGAAGGCUUUGUUUUGUAGUGAAACGUGGAAUAAAUUACCAGGCUUUGAACCAA